UUCACUCUUGUUGUGAUAAUGCUCUUCUUUUCUCUCCUCAGAACUUUGAAUCUAUCAGCUUCUAAGAUAUUUGCCACAAGCUUUGAAUCUAAAGAAGAAACAAGAAGGACUAGUUGCAAUGUUUUCUCUGGGAACUAGACUCCUUAUCUGAAGGGACCGUACUACAGCAAUGGGACAUGCCCUUUCAUAUUUGACAAGCAGAAUUGCCUUCUGCAUGGAAGACCUGACAGGGAGUUUCUUCAAUGGAGAUGGAAACCUAAUGAGUGUUAGCUUCCUCUCUUUGAUGCUACUCAGUUCUUGAAGAUGGUCAAAGGGAAAUCAAUGGCCUUUGUUGGGGACUCAGUUCUAUUUAGCAUAUGGGACAAGUCAAGCAUGGAUACAAAAUAUGCAA